GGGAGCAAUUGUUUUUGUGGAUUUCACAAAAGCAUUUGAUUCUUUAGAAUGGGAUUUUAUGCUUGGAACUUUGAAACAUUUUGGGUUUAAUGAAUCAUUCAUUAAGUGGGUUAAAACUAUGUAUACAGAUGUUCAAACAUGUGUUAUGAACAAUGGGUGGGUAUCAGAAAAUUUCAAAAAUUCACGGGGAAUCCGACAAGGCUGUCCUUUAUCAGCAUUAUUGUUUGUUUUGGCUGUUGAAAUUAUGGCUCUUAAGUUGAGGAACAGCAACGAAGUAAAAGGAAUCACUAUUAAGUUAGAUGGGAAAAGUCACAGCAUUAAAAUUUCACAACUAGCAGAUGACACAACAUUAUUUUGUAAAGAUAAAAACGAUGUAAUAUCUGCAAUGAAUAUAAUCGAAAUUUUUGGCUCAUUUUCAGGACUUUUGGUAAAUAGAAAUAAAACAGAAGGAUUAUGGAUCGGGAAAUUAAAAUCAUGUAAAGAUAAAAUUGCGGGAAUUAAUUGGGGAGA
rnacentral:lncRNA from 1 species